rnacentral:rRNA from 1 species
UAUUAAGCGGAGGAAAAGAAACUAACCAGGAUUUCCUCAGUAGCGGCGAGCGAACAGGAAAGAGCCCAGCACCGAAUCCCGCGGUUCCGCCGCAGGGAAAUGUGGUGUUCGGGAGGGUCCAAAGUUAUCCCGGGUUGCCGUGUCGCGUCCAAGUCCAUCUUGAAUGGGGCCACUUACCCGCAGAGGGUGCCAGGCCCGUAGCGACCGACACGCGCCUCGGGAGGAUCUCUCCUUAGAGUCGGGUUGCUUGAGAGUGCAGCUCUAAGUGGGUGGUAAACUCCAUCUAAGGCUAAAUACGACCACGAGACCGAUAGCGAACAAGUACCGUGAGGGAAAGUUGAAAAGAACUUUGAAGAGGGAGUUCAAGAGUACGUGAAACCGUUCAGGGGUAAACCUAAGAAACCCAAAAGAUCGAACGGGGAGAUUCAUCGUCAGCGGCGUUGGCUUCGAGUCGGUGGGCGAUGUUCCGCGCGUCUACCGCGCGGGCACGCUACCGUGCGCGCAUGUCCGACGUCGUCGUCGUGCACUUCUCCCCUAGUAGAACGUCGCGACCCGCUGGGUGUCGGUCUACGGCCCGGGUGCGGUGCCUGUCGCGUCGCCGGUAAAACGGCACGCGGCAAACCCCCGGCUCGCCCGGCCGGCUGCCCGGCGGUACUCGCACGGUAUCAGGCCGCAGGUCUAUCUGCGUCAAGCCCGUCGCAAGCGCGCGCCACGUUACCCGGAGGCACGGACCUAGCGCCGUCCCCGGUUCUGGCCCGCUGUUGGCCGACGGUGAUCCUUUGACAGGCCUUACGGGGCCCCGAUACCGGUCGGCGACGCUACUGCUUUGGGUACUCUUAGGACCCGUCUUGAAACACGGACCAAGGAGUCUAACAUGUGCGCGAGUCAUUGGGACCAGCAAAACCCAAAGGCGCAAUGAAAGUGAAGAUCGGCCCUGGCGCCGAUCGAGGGAGGAUGGGCCGCGUCGCGAUGCGGCCUCGCACUCCCGGGGCGUCUCGUUCUCAUUGCGAGAAGAGGCGCACCAAGAGCGUACACGUUGGGACCCGAAAGAUGGUGAACUAUGCCUGGUCAGGACGAAGUCAGGGGAAACCCUGAUGGAGGUCCGUAGCGAUUCUGACGUGCAAAUCGAUCGUCGGAACUGGGUAUAGGGGCGAAAGACUAAUCGAACCAUCUAGUAGC